GGGCAAUUAGCUCAGUUGGUUUAGAGCACUACCUUGACAGGGUAGGGGUCACUGGUUCGAAUCCAGUAUUGCUCACGA
rnacentral:tRNA from 1 species